rnacentral:pre_miRNA from 9 species
UCUCGAUCGCGUUAAAGUUAACUAAAAUAUGUAUUGAGUUGGAACAUUUGCCUACGUUUGCCGCUAGGGGCACUGUUCCAACUCUAUACAAAUUCGAGUUAGCUUUUACGUGAUCGA